AUGGUUCUGGAGGUUUUGGGUCAUCAGCUGUUAAAAUGGAUCAUUAAGUCAAACUAUAUGGGACUUCCGCUGGUCAGUGUGAAGACCAUCAUCAGACAGGUAACACACUAUACACACUGUAGACAUUAUAUAUACACACUGUACACACACUGUACACACUGUACACACAUUAUAUACGCUGUAUACACACUGUACACACUAUAUACACACUAUCUAUACACUACAUACACACUAUAUACACACGAUCUAUACACUACAUACACACUAUCUAUACACUACAUACACACUAUCUAUACACUAUCUAUACACUACAUACACACUAUCUAUACACUACAUACACACUAUCUAUACACUACAUACACACUAUAUAUACAUUAUAUACACACUAUAUAUACACUAUAUACACACUAUACACACUUUAUACACACUACAUAUACACUAUAUCUACACUAUAUACACUAUAUAUACACUACAUACACUAUAUAUAUACACUGUAUACACUAUAUAUACACUAUACACACUAUAUAUACACUACAUACACUAUAUAUAUACACUGUAUACACUAUAUAUACACUAUACACACUAUAUAUACACUAUAUACGCACUAUAUACACAAUUUAUACAAUAUAUACAGACUAUAUAUACGCUAUAUACACACUUUAUACACACUUUAUACACACUACAUAUACACUGUAUAUACACUAUAUAUACACUACAUAUACACUAUAUAUACACUAUAUACACACACUAUAUAUACGCUAUAUACACACUAUAUAUACACUAUAUACACACUUUAUACACACUACAUAUACACUAUAUCUACACUAUAUAUACACACUACACUAUAUACACAUUAUAUAUACACACUCUACACUAUAUACACACUAUAUACACACUUUAUACACUAUAUACACACUAUAUAUACGCUAUAUACACACUGUAUACACACUGUACACACUAUAUACACACUAUAUACACACUAUCUAUACACUACAUACACACUAUAUGCAUACUACAUACACACUAUCUAUACACUACAUACACACUAUAUAUACACUAUAUACACACUAUAUAUACACUAUAUACACUAUAUAUACACUAUAUACACACUUUUUACACACUACAUAUACACUAUAUAUACACACUAUACAUACUAUAUAUACACACUAUACACUAUAUACACACUACAUAUACACUAUAUACACACUAUACAUACGCUAUAUACACACUAUAUACAUUAUAUACACACUAUACGCUAUAUACACUCUAUAUGCUAUAUACACACUAUAUACACUAUAUACACACUAUAUAAACUAUAUAUACACU
rnacentral:lncRNA from 15 species